rnacentral:rRNA from 1 species
CGGGACACGUGGUAUCCUGUCUGAAUAUGGGGGGACCAUCCUCCAAGGCUAAAUACUCCUGACUGACCGAUAGUGAACCAGUACCGUGAGGGAAAGGCGAAAAGAACCCCGGCGAGGGGAGUGAAAAAGAACCUGAAACCGUGUACGUACAAGCAGUGGGAGCACGCUUAGGCGUGUGACUGCGUACCUUUUGUAUAAUGGGUCAGCGACUUAUAUUCUGUAGCAAGGUUAACCGAAUAGGGGAGCCGAAGGGAAACCGAGUCUUAACUGGGCGUUAAGUUGCAGGGUAUAGACCCGAAACCCGGUGAUCUAGCCAUGGGCAGGUUGAAGGUUGGGUAACACUAACUGGAGGACCGAACCGACUAAUGUUGAAAAAUUAGCGGAUGACUUGUGGCUGGGGGUGAAAGGCCAAUCAAACCGGGAGAUAGCUGGUUCUCCCCGAAAGCUAUUUAGGUAGCGCCUCGUGAAUUCAUCUCCGGGGGUAGAGCACUGUUUCGGCAAGGGGGUCAUCCCGACUUACCAACCCGAUGCAAACUGC